AUGGGCCCUGGCCGUCGUCCGACCGCCGCCCAAGUCCUGGCGUCCUUGAUAUGCCUCUACCACGUGCCGCACAGGGCCUUCUCGCUCUCCUUCAGCCUCGACUUCUCUGAUGCCGGUGCUGGUUCGUCGAUCAUUGUCGCCGGUGACGCACUCAUCAGUCCACCAACGCUCCAGCUGACGAAAAACAGCCAGGCGUCGUACCGGUACAAGGUGCCGCUAUGGAACGGCGCCAUCGGCGAGAUGGCUAGCUUCGCCACCGCCUUCUCCUUCCAAAUCACCCCAGAGAAGGACAGCCUGCCGCAGCAGACCGGCGACAGGAGGAUGGCCUUCUUCCUCGGCCAUCUCCCUUCGGCGGACGUCCCGCGCAGCAGCAGCCUCGCUGACGGGACAGGCAACACCCGGAUCGUGGCGGUGGAGUUCGACGCUCUCCUCAACCAUGUCGGCAUCGACAUCAACUCCACGGCGUCCGCGCACACGAAGGCGGCAUGGACGGGCAAGAAACUCACGACGUCCAGUGUCAUGGAGGCCACCGUGGAAUACAACAGCGACUCCAGGAUGCUGGCUGUUGCUCUCCUCAUCGACGGUGCGUUGUACCAGGUCAAUGCAACUGUUAAUCUCCGCAGAAUUCUACCGGAGGAGGUCGCCAUCGGCUUCUCCGCGGUGAAUGGCGGCGCCGCUGGGCUGCACCGGAUACUGUCGUGGUCGUUCAGUUCCAGUCUGCCGGAGUCAAAGCGGUGUCAAACGUUACGACUUAGUGCUGUCUAG
rnacentral:rRNA from 1 species